CCAAAAGCUGGCGACCGGCGCACGGGUGAGUAACACGUAUCCAACCUGCCUCAUACUCGGGGAUAGCCUUUCGAAAGAAAGAUUAAUAUCCGAUAGCAUAUAUUUCCCGCAUGGGUUUUAUAUUAAAGAAAUUCGAUAUGAGAUGGGGAUGCGUUCCAUUAGUUUGUUGGGGGGGUAACGGCCCACCAAGACUACGAUGGAUAGGGGUUCUGAGAGGAAGGUCCCCCACAUUGGAACUGAGACACGGUCCAA
rnacentral:rRNA from 1 species